AUGGGGCCGCGCCGGCAGUCGCCGCCUCGCCAGAUCCGGCGGUCCCCUCCUGGUAGGUGGCCAGGCGUCCUUCCCUCCUCCAGGCCGCCGCGUGGGCGCAUACCGGCGAUGCUCAUCGGCUGCUGCUACAACUGCAGCGAUGAGAGGCACAUCUCGGCCAUGUGCACCAACCCGCCGGUGUGUGUGCGCUGCGGGGAGGCGGGGCACAUCUCAAAGGGCUGCACUUUGCCGCGCCAUCGUCCGCGUCCGCGCAGUUCAUCUCCGGUGGAUCGGCCUAGGCCGCCGGCGGCGCUCCGGCCUCGGCUGUCGCCUUCCUCGCCGGUUGGGGCGCCGCCCGCGCCGGUUCCGCCGGCCCUGGUGCGGCGGGCCCCCCGCGUCUGCCCCCUCCUCCGUCGGGUCCGCCCCCUCCGGGCGUGGCGCGUGUCAGGGUCUCGUGGAGCCAGGUGGUCCGGUCGGGGGCUGAGUCGGUGGCCAGUGUGGCUGGGCCGGGCUUCUCGGUGCCCUUUGCGCCGGCCGGUGCCGUCGUGCAGGGCGUGUCUUCGGGCGCUUCGCAGACCGUGGUGGAUAAGCAGGUGGACUGCUGUUUCAUGGAGACUGGUCCGGAUCUUCGGGCCAUGGAGGAAGAGCAGUCUCGAGCGGUGCUGGUCUCGGUGGUCGGUUCGAGGCGGCUGGCGGAUCUGGCGGCGGUGGCGGCCGUCAUCGUGGAGGAGUUCGAGCUAG
rnacentral:rRNA from 1 species